rnacentral:rRNA from 1 species
GGAUUAGAGUUUGAUCCUGGCUCAGAGCGAACGCUGGCGGCAGGCCUAACAMAUGCAAAUYGAACGGACCCUUCGGGGUUAGUGGCGGACGGGUGAGUAACACGUGGGAACGUGCCCUUUGGUUCGGAAUAGCUCCUGGAAACGGWKUGGUAAUGCCGAAUGUGCCCUUCGGGGGAAAGAUUUAUCGCCAUUGGAGCGGCCCGCGUCUGAUUAGCUAGUUGGUGAGGUAAAGGCUCACCAAGGCGACGAUCAGUAGCUGGUCUGAGAGGAUGAUCAGCCACAUUGGGACUGAGACACGGCCCAGACUCCUACGGGAGGCAGCAGUGGGGAAUAUUGGACAAUGGGCGAAAGCCUGGAUCCAGCAAUGCCGCGUGAGUGAUGAAGGCCUUAGGGUUGUAAAGCUCUUUUACCCGGGAUGAUAAUGACAGUACCGGGAGAAUAAGCCCCGGCUAACUCCGUGCCAGCAGCCGCGGUAAUACGGAGGGGGCUAGCGUUGUUCGGAAUUACUGGGCGUAAAGCGCACGUAGGCGGCUUUGUAAGUUAGAGGUGAAAGCCUGGAGCUUAACUCCAGAAUUGCCUUUAAGACUGCAUCGCUUGAAUCCGAGAGAGGUGAGUGGAAUUCCGAGUGUAASGGUGAAAUUCGUAGAUAUUCGGAAGAACACCAGUGGCGAAGGCGGCUCACUGGCUCGGUAUUGACGCUGAGGUGCGAAAGCGUGGGGAGCAAAMAGGAUUAGAUACCYURRUAGU